GAGGAAGUCAGUUUCUAGGCAAACAGAAAAAUAAAAACCCUCUUCGGACUUCUGCUUUGCUUCCCUGAUCUGCAUUUUAUACCCUUUUUCUUUAGAUUGAAUUAGAAAAUAUCUUUAGCAAGCUAAUGGAUCUCAAGGCUCCUCACUCUAUGGGUACUACUAUUAUCGGCGUCACCUAUGACGGCGGCGUCGUCCUGGGUGCCGACUCUCGCACCAGCACUGGGAUGUAUGUCGCAAAUAGGGCUUCGGACAAAAUUACUCAGCUCACUGAUAAUGUCUACGUUUGUCGUUCUGGAUCGGCUGCAGAUUCCCAAAUUGUGUCUGACUAUGUUCGUUACUUUCUUCAUCAGCACACAAUACAGUUAGGUCAGCCCGCAACUGUCAAAGUUGCUGCUAAUCUGGUCAGGCUGCUAUCUUAUAACAAUAAGAACAUGCUAGAAACUGGCCUAAUUGUUGGUGGAUGGGACAAAUAUGAAGGUGGUAAAAUUUAUGGAGUUCCUCUCGGUGGAACAAUAAUAGAGCAGCCUUUUGCUAUUGGAGGAUCUGGCUCCAGUUACUUGUAUGGAUUCUUUGAUCAAGCAUGGAAAGAAGGAAUGACCAAGGAUGAAGCUGAGGUAUGUAGCUGUUGAUGAAUGCAAAUGGAAAAAUUGGUUAACACCCUGGAAUAGAUAUUUGAGGAAUGAUCCUGGAUGUUUAUUGGACUGAUACUCAGUGGUUAUGGCUUGAGACAUUGUACCUUUUCAUAACCUUGUGCCACUAUGAGGGUUAAGUUCAACUAGUGAAAGUGCAUCUAAAAUUUGUUUCUUUUUGCUCCAUGAAAGACAAUCAUUGUUUUUGAGGGAAGAACAUGAGUUUUAGUGUUCCUUUGUUUGUAUGAAUCUGUUGGUUGCUAGCUAAGCAACAAAGAAAAUAAAUAAAUAAAUAAAUGACUAAUUUGCAUCUGCCUGCAGAUCACAAACUCCAAUGCUAUUAACCUUAAUUAAUACGGAGACUGCUUAACUAAAUCAGUCAAUUCACAUAGAAUUUGUUCCAAAACUUUUUAAGAAGGAAAAAAGGAAAAUUAUGAAAUGAAAUAACCAGGGAAAUUCAUAUUCAGUAGCAUAUUCAUGCAUGCCUUAUUAGUAACCUUCAUAGAUAACCACUAUGCAAAUAGUGGGAUUAUCCAACAGGUCAUUUAUCUUUUCUAGUCAAGAUGGUAUGAUCCAUUUAUUCAAAAUAUUCUUGUGAUAUUAUCAAUGAAUAGAAAUCCACAACAACGGAAAUGCCUUUCUUUGGAAUAACAACACUAACAAGAAAUUCAACAAAAUACCUGGAAAUCAGAAAGUUUCU
rnacentral:misc_RNA from 1 species